rnacentral:rRNA from 1 species
UAGAUGCGAGAGUAGAGCAUAUCAAUAAGCGGAGGAAAAGAAACUAACUAGGAUUCCCUUAGUAACGGCGAGUGAAGCGGGAAGAGCUCAAAUUUGAAAUCUUCAAGGUUCUACCUUGACGAAUUGUAGUUUAAAGAAGUGUUUUCUGUCGGAGUUUUGGUAAAAGUUCUUUGGAAUAGGACAUCAUAGAGGGUGAGAAUCCCGUAUUUGACCAUUUCUUCCAGCUGUGUGAUGCACUUUCAAAGAGUCGGAUUGUUUGGGAAUGCAGUCCAAAAUGGGUGGUAAAUUUCAUCUAAAGCUAAAUAUUGGCGAGAGACCGAUAGCGAACAAGUACCGUGAGGGAAAGAUGAAAAGAACUUUGAAAAGAGAGUUAAACAGUACGUGAAAUUGUCAAAAGGGAAGCGUUUGACACCAGUGUUGUUUUUCCGAAAAUCAAUUAAGAAUGUCCUGAUUUUAAAGUUCAUGACCUUAAUAGGCUUGUUUCUUAUUUUACUUGUAACUUUCUUAAUGCACUUUUCGGUUAACAAGUCAACAUCAAUUUCUUUUGUUGUAAAAGGGUCAUUGAGGAAGGUGGCUCUCUUUUCGGAGAAAGUGUUUAUAGCCUUGUGACUUCUGCAAUCGGAGAGAUUGAGGUCUGCAGCGUAGAUCCUUCGGGGUUAGAUACGUUUGUGCUAAGCUAUAGCCUUUCAUAGACAGCUUGUUGACUAUGAUCAGUCAUGUAGCUUACUCGCUUAUGUCUAUUUUACCUACGCUUAGGAUGUUGACGAGACUGUCGAUCUC